rnacentral:rRNA from 1 species
GACGAACGCUGGCGGCGUGCCUAAUACAUGCAAGUUGAGCGCUGAAGGUUGGUACUUGUACCAACUGGAUGAGCAGCGAACGGGUGAGUAACGCGUGGGGAAUCUGCCUUUGAGCGGGGGACAACAUUUGGAAACGAAUGCUAAUACCGCAUAAAAACUUUAAACACAAGUUUUAAGUUUGAAAGAUGCAAUUGCAUCACUCAAAGAUGAUCCCGCGUUGUAUUAGCUAGUUGGUGAGGUAAAGGCUCACCAAGGCGAUGAUACAUAGCCGACCUGAGAGGGUGAGCGGCCACACUGGGACUGAGACACGGCCCAAACUCCUACGGGAGGCAGCAGUAGGGAAUCUUCGGCAAUGGACGAAAGUCUGACCGAGCAACGCGGCGUGAGGGAAGAAGGUUUUCGGGUCGGAAAACUCUGUUGGUGGAGAAGAACGUUGGUGAGAGUGGAAAGCUCAUCAAGUGACGGUAACUAGCCAGAAAGAGACGGCUAACUACGUG